rnacentral:misc_RNA from 1 species
AACGCAAGUUGCGCCCGAGGCCUCCUGGUCGAGGGCACGCCUGCCUGGGUGUCACGCAUCGUCGCCCCCACUCCCCUCGGCUCACGAGGGCGGGGGCGGAUACUGGUCUCCCGCGCGCUCCCGCCCGUGGUUGGCCUAAAAUCGAGUCCUCGGCGACGGUCGCCACGACAAGCGGUGGUUGAGAGACCCUCGGACACGGUCGUGCGCGUGCUUGUCGCCCCCGGGACCUCCCGGACCCCCGAGCAUUGGCUUUCAAGGAUGCUCUCGUUGCGACCCCAGGUCAGGCGGGACUACCCGCUGAGUUUAA